AAAGAGCUAUAAAAAUCUUCUUUGCGCAACUAUGAAAAAAAUAAAAUAUAAAAAAGCGGCAUUUAGAGUUUUGGAAGCCAGGACUAGUCCAGACCUGCAAAAUAUUUACAAGCAUAGACUGAAGAAGUGUGAAGCAUACUGAAGUGAUGUGUGUGUGUGUUCCACAGCAAUAAAUUAUGGAAAGAAAAGCAGUGCACUGCAGUGAAUUGCACAGGCCAAGAUGUCUCAAGUUGUACAUUCAAACAGAAGUGAUGGGUGACAGGCUUUUACUAGCAACUUGUGAAGAAAAAUCAGGUAGCUAGAGCAGAGACCAGAUGCUGUGAUUGAUGCAAACAGGGAGAGACGUUUUACAAUUGAAAUGAUAGACUCUGAUAUUUGCAUGUAUUGUUUUGUAUGAUGAACUUUGUCCGUGCAAGUGGCUAUGCCCGUAAAAGAGGCACACUUUUGCUCAUUGUGUUUGUUAUCUUUUUAAAAAUAUAUAAAGUA